UUGCCUCUAUAGAUCCUGCGGUCGAGCUGAUAAAAGAUUUGCAGUCCACACGACUAAACGUUUUUCAGUACAGUAUACCGAUGAUCUUCAAGCAGAAUGUCCUGGAUUCGGAGAAAAAACAAACAACGUUUGACAUUACUGAUGCACGGAGGAGUUCCUGUAAUCCGUCUUGGCAAAACGUCCCUUGAUUCGUGUUCUAGUUUCUGCACGAGCCUUUCUUGACUCGUACCUGAUAUGCUUCUCAUAUCUCCUUGUUUUCUUCUUCUCCUUGUACCGUGAGACAGCAGUUUCUCUUUCUUGGCUGUUUAACUCGCGAUGAACGACUUUAGGUACCAUUUGAAAUGUUUCAGUAGUGGGAGGAUGAUGAGAUUGUUCUUCAUUUCCUCCACCAGAAGCAUCACAAACAUCUGAAUCUCUGUCGGGUAGUAAGCACUUCGUCUCAAUGAAGCAGUCCGUUAAAGAAGAAGAAAAGCCUUGAUCUACGAAUUCAACAGUAUCACCGUGCCAAUGAAAGGCACUCCCCUCAGAUGAAGGAACUACAUGUUGAUCUGACCUCUGCAUAAAUCCCGAACCUUUAUAUCUCAACGGACAAUUUUGUACAGGUUCCAUAGAUUGAAAUCCUGUAGUUGGUACAUUUUCAUCUUGAUCAUCACCAGAAUUUGGUUCCAACUUUGAUAAUUCGCGAAGCUGACCAAGUAUUUCUUCCUUGUGUUUUCCACAAGCAGCAUUUCGGUUCUUAGGAAGAGGAGGAACCCCAAUAGCUUGAUAAUUAUGUCGAGACUCAUUAUUAUUAGCAAUCAAAUCAUCAAGAGUAACAACAGACGGAGUAUCCCAAAUAACCCAAUCAGAGAAACCAUAAGCUCCAUCAUCCCCGCCACACAAAAGUUCCUUCUUCCCCAAAUCUUCAAAUCCAAGAAUCGACAACAGCUCAGAAACAGAAGGACACCCGGUAAACCCCUCGAGUGGUCUUCUUUCAUGUAGAGACAAUAGUUUGUUAUGAGAUUCCCAAUCACAAUUCUGACACAAAACAGAGGUCUCUGUACAGCAGAGUAUAGAAGCUGGAGAAGAAUCACAAAGAUUACAGAGCAACCAACGAGUGUGUUUAGUGAAAAGCUGAUUCGUUGAAUGAACUUCACGGUCACAGGUAAAACAGAGCUUAGCUGAAUCUGCUCUGCAAUACAAAAGUGCUGUGUUGUUUCCACAAAAAUCACAAAGAUGCUGGUGGUGAUUUUCUUCAUCUUUUUUUACUUCAGUCAUGUUUUUUCUUUGAGAGAUUUUUUUUUUUGG
rnacentral:misc_RNA from 1 species